rnacentral:lncRNA from 1 species
AUGGAGGAAGUGGCAGCUGCCCCCCCGGCCCUGCCCGGCCCGUCCCAGCCCACGUUCUGCCGGCCCGCGGCCUCCGAGCGCCGCAGCCGCAAGUCUGGCGCUGCCAACAUCUUCCAGGGCGUGAACCUGCGCCAGCUGCGGCGCCUGUUCCGGUCAGCCGGGGAACCGGACGCCGAGCAGCGAGCGCGAAUGGUGUGGGGCGACUGGACAGCGGGGGCAGCUGAGGGGGAGGACGGCGGGCAGGACGAAGAGGAGGGGGAAGAUGAAGAUAGGCUGGCGCAGGCACUGGUGGGAUUGAGGGUCCGAGCCAGAAACCGCAGCGGAAUCCGGGCAGAACCUCAUCGCAGCGACGGCGUCUCCGCCACCAGAGGGGUUCGGGCGUUUGGACACUCCAGAUUUAGUGAGCGGUCUCCAGGACAGUCGUCUGAAGCUGCCGCUGAUGAAGAUGAUGCUGCCGCUGCAGGAGCCUGUGGUGGGCAGGAUCCCGUCACCGCUGGGUCAUGUGACUCAGGGGACGUCCUGUAUGAAGAAGAGGAGGUUCGAGGAUCUUGGAGUCGGAGUGGUGCUGUGGAGAAGGAUCCAGAACGCUACCUCCACCGUAUACGGCACUGACGGAGGAGCCGGAACACUGCGGGAUUAUCAGAGAGACCGAGAGAGAGAGAGCGGGAUUAGACAAUAAUCUGAUAACCAACCCUGGUUGGGUCUGCCAGGCCACAGCAGGACAUGCUCACUAAAUAUACCCUGAGUGGCCAGUUUAUUGGAAACACCUACCCUGUAUCUACACUCUACUCUGGCCACUUUAUUAGAAACAUCUUCUAUCUGAGCGUAGUCCACCUAAUAUGCGUCUCCAAAAGUUGGGCUACAGUCAUUUACUGUACCUACAGUUAGUAGGUAGUCCAGGUGAGAGACACUGAUUCUGAAAUCUGAUUUAUUGUUGAGAUUUUAUGCUUGGAUGUGAGACAAAACACUUCAAAAGGUUGUUUGAGACAAACUUAAGGAAGUAGUCUUAGACAAAUAACAUGAAAAAGUGGCUUGUCUGAGACAAACCACUUCCAGGGGUGGUCUGAGACAAACCACUUCAGGAGGUGGUCUUAGACAAACCACAUGAGAGGGUGUUCUGAGACUAACUACUAGAGGAGGUGGUUUGUCUGAGAAAAAAACAACUUGAGAGGGUGGUCUUAGACAAACCACUUGAAAAGGUGGUCUGUCUGAGACAAACCACUUAAGAAGGUGGUCUUAGACAAACCAAUUGAGAAGGUGGUCUGUCUGAGACAAACCACUUGAGAAGAUGGUCUGUCUGAGACAAACCACUUGAGAAGGUGGUCUGUCUGAGAAAAACCACUUGAGAAGGUGGUCUGUCUGAGACAAACCAC